rnacentral:rRNA from 1 species
AUAAGAGGUCCUGCCUGCCCCGUGACCAUGAGUUUAACGGCCGCGGUAUUUUGACCGUGCAAAGGUAGCGCAAUCACUUGUCCUUUAAAUGAAGACCCGUAUGAACGGCAAGACGAGGGCUUGACUGUCUCCUUUUUCAAGUCAAUGAAAUUGAUCCUCCCGUGCAGAAGCGGGAAUCCUCCCAUAAGACGAGAAGACCCUGUGGAGCUUCAGACACUAAGACAGACCACGUCAAAAUCCCACAAAGGACUGAACUAAGUGAAUCCUGUACUAAUGUCUUCGGUUGGGGCGACCCCGGGGAAUUACAAAACCCCCGCGUGGAAUGAGAGCACUCUUACAAUUAAGAGCUCCCGCUCUAAUAUACAGAACUUCUGACCAUACAAGAUCCGGCAACGCCGAUCAACGAACCAAGUUACCCUAGGGAUAACAGCGCAAUCCUCUUUUAGAGCCCAUAUCGACAAGAGGGUUUACGACCUCGAUGUUGGAUCAGGACAUCCUAAUGGUGCAACCGCUAUUAAGGGUUCGUUUGUUCAACGAUUAAAGUCCUACGUGAUC